GACGAACGCUGGCGGCGUGCCUAACACAUGUAAGUCGCACGGGAUCGGGGGCAACUCCGGUUCAGUGGCAGACGGGUGCGUAACACGUGAGAAACUUGUCCGACGGCGGGGGAUAGCCGGCCCAACGGCCGGGUAAUACCGCAUACGAUCAUUCGGGGGCAUCCCUGGGUGAGGAAAGCAGCCGCAAGGUUGCGCCGACGGAGAGUCUCGCGGCCUAUCAGCUAGUUGGCGGGGUAAUGGCCCACCAAGGCGACGACGGGUAGCUGGUCUGAGAGGAUGAUCAGCCACAUUGGGACUGAGACACGGCCCAGACUCCUACGGGAGGCAGCAGUGGGGAAUAUUGCGCAAUGGCCGCAAGGCUGACGCAGCGACGCCGCGUGUGGGAUGACGGCCUUCGGGUUGUAAGCCACUGUCGGGAGGAACGAAUACCGGGCGUCGAAUAGGCGACCCGGGGUGACGGUACCUCCAAAGGAAGCACCGGCUAACUCUGUGC
rnacentral:rRNA from 1 species